GGUACACAAUCAUAGACACACAGUGACACACAUAUUGUCUGUGACUAUGUGUGUCACUGUGUGUCUAUGAUUGUGUACCUAC